rnacentral:rRNA from 1 species
GACGAACGCUGGCGGCGUGCUUAACACAUGCAAGUCGAACGGAAAGGCCCUGCUUUUGUGGGGUGCUCGAGUGGCGAACGGGUGAGUAACACGUGAGUAACCUGCCCUUGACUUUGGGAUAACUUCAGGAAACUGGGGCUAAUACCGGAUAGGAGCUCCUGCUGCAUGGUGGGGGUUGGAAAGUUUCGGCGGUUGGGGAUGGACUCGCGGCUUAUCAGCUUGUUGGUGGGGUAGUGGCUUACCAAGGCUUUGACGGGUAGCCGGCCUGAGCGGGUGACCGGCCACAUUGGGACUGAGAGACGGCCCAGACUCGUACGGGAGGCAGCAGUGGGGAAUAUUGCACAAUGGGCGGAAGCCUGAUGCAGCAACGCCGCGUGCGGGAUGACGGCCUUCGGGUUGUAAACCGCUUUCGCCUGUGACGAAGCGUGAGUGACGGUAAUGGGUAAAGAAGCACCGGCUAACUACGUG